GUAAAGCCCUUUUGUUGGGAAAGAAAAGCAAUCAGCUAAUACCCGGGUUGUUCUGACGGUACCCAAAGAAUAAGCACCGGCUAACUUCGUGCCAGCAGCCGCGGUAAUAGGAAGGGUGCAAGCGUUACUCGGAAUUACUGGGCGUAAAGCGUGCGUAGGUGGUUGUUUAAGUCUGUUGUGAAAGCCCUGGGCUCAACCUGGGAAUUGCAGUGGAUACUGGGCGACUAGAGUGUGGUAGAGGGUAGUGGAAUUCCCGGUGUAGCAGUGAAAUGCGUAGAGAUCGGGAGGAACAUCCAUGGCGAAGGCAGCUACCUGGACCAACACUGACACUGAGGCACGAAAGCGUGGGGAGCAAACAGGAUUAGAUACCCUGGUAGUCCACGCCCUAAACGAUGCGAACUGGAUGUUGGGUGCAAUUUGGCACGCAGUAUCGAAGCUAACGCGUAAG
rnacentral:rRNA from 1 species